GUGGGGAAUAUUGGACAAUGGGCGAAAGCCUGAUCCAGCCAUGCCGCGUGUGUGAAGAAGGUCUUCGGAUUGUAAAGCACUUUAAGUUGGGAGGAAGGGCAGUAAGUUAAUACCUUGCUGUUUUGACGUUACCAACAGAAUAAGCACCGGCUAACUUCGUGCCAGCAGCCACGGUAAUACGAAGGGUGCAAGCGUUAAUCGGAAUUACUGGGCGUAAAGCGCGCGUAGGUGGUUCAGCAAGUUGGAGGUGAAAUCCCCGGGCUCAACCUGGGAACUGCCUCCAAAACUACUGAGCUAGAGUACGGUAGAGGGUAGUGGAAUUUCCUGUGUAGCGGUGAAAUGCGUAGAUAUAGGAAGGAACACCAGUGGCGAAGGCGACUACCUGGACUGAUACUGACACUGAGGUGCGAAAGCGUGGGGAGCAAACAGGAUUAGAUACCCGUGUAGUCC
rnacentral:rRNA from 1 species